rnacentral:lncRNA from 1 species
AACCAGCUUAGAAUCUUGAAUAUUUUUAAUUAUGCAACUCUUCAACCAGCUUAGAAUUUUUCUGCCCUUUGAUUAAUUUGAGGAAAGAUAAUUAAUUCCAGUUAAUACAAUGUUGACAUAUAAAGCAGAGAAAAAAGAAAAGGGGUCCACCAAAUAUAACCGAGCUCGACUCAUUCGUAAAGUACUUUGCUUCUGGACCUCCAUCGACCGAACCAACUUGGCUUUCAAGAUCACCACCAAAAAGGAGUCUACAGAGUCAAAUCCCUCAGAUUUUUGUCCAACCGUGCUAUCACCUACAAGAAAGUCAAGAAGAGUGAGGCCUCACCCUAAACAGGUAUGAUAAUUUAUUUCAACAAGAGAAGUUUGAUGACAUACGACGUACCUCGAUCGAGAUGAUAUGUAAAUAGCCAAUGUGUCAAAAGAAUGUUGCAAGCUCAUCAGGUUCCACAGUCGUUAUAUACAUCCGAUGAUAGUGUCAAAGGGCGUUAAAGUUUUUCAAAUUAAUACAUUAUAAAUGUACCAAUGAGGUGGUGGUCCAUUGUCAAAGGCAAAGCCUUUAAACACCUUGGGAGGUGGAGGUCUUCGGUUCAAGUCCCACAGAUGAUAGGGAAUAAACGAAAUUUGUCGUUCAAAAAAAUACAUUAUAAAUGCAUAUAAUUAUGAUAUAUAAUGAUUUUUAAUUCAUUUUCCGUACUCCAGUGUUUAUGAACUAUGUAUGGGACUGGGCACGAAAUGUAAAGCAUCCACGCGAUCAAUCUGUUACCACAGUCCACGUAGAAUUGGUAUAAUCCUAGACAAGGAAUCAUUAUUAACAACCCAGAAGGUGUUGAUGUGUAUCAUGGAGUCCCAAAGGUUUGUGUUUCAUUCAUGAACAUUUACUUUAGCCAACUUAAACUCAUGACUUUUUAAAUCUAACACACUAUGUUCUCUGAUCUGCCACAAGUCACUUAAAGAUGAUGACAUUGGGAUGAUGUGAAUGUCGACAACUUUAUUGUUGUUUUGCUCAGAUAAAGAAGUCAAGAGUUUCUUAGAAUUCAUCAGCUACAUAAAGGAAAAAUCAAGAUUUUAUUAGAAUUCAUCAGCUACACCUAUGAUGUAUUUGGUUUCACUGUUGAACUAAAGCUAUCAACAGUGUGUUUUAUUAUUCUAUAUUCACACCUAGCAUUCAACU